AGUCGCUUCAGUCGCUGAGUGCAGAGGUUAAAUAGGUUUGCAGCCAAUCUGAAACAAGCUUCAGAUAGCGAUGGUCGGAUUGAGCGCUCAGUGAGGGAACAUUCAGCUCUGAUGUCUAUUCUCGAUCGCCGUCCGAUUGAAUCUGCACUCCCAACUCUAGCGAGGCCAAUAAUGUGUUUGGAUGCUAAUGAAGAUGCUAUACUGCGGGCACUAAAGCAGAGCUUGACGCAGUUAGAAACACUUGGUGCUGAACGGGCUGUUCUAGAAGACAUGCUCAAAGAUAUGAAGAGGAAGGAUGAUAUAUUACCAAAGUUGAUGACAU